UACAGAGGUCUCAAGCGUUGUUCGGAUUCAUUGGGCGUAAAGGGUGUGUAGGUGGCGCCGUAAGUCGGGUGUGAAAUCUCGGGGCUUAACUCCGAAACUGCAUUCGAUACUGCGGUGCUUGAGGACUGGAGAGGAGACUGGAAUCCAUGGUGUAGCAGUGAAAUGCGUAGAGAUCAUGAGGAAGACCAGUGGCGAAGGCGGGUCUCUGGACAGUUCCUGACACUGAGACACGAAGGCCAGGGGAGCAAACGGG
rnacentral:rRNA from 1 species